rnacentral:rRNA from 1 species
AUUGAACGCUGGCGGCAUGCUUUACACAUGCAAGUCGAACGGCAGCGCGGGCUUCGGCCUGGCGGCGAGUGGCGAACGGGUGAGUAAUACAUCGGAACGUGCCCAGUAGUGGGGGAUAGCUCGGCGAAAGCCGGAUUAAUACCGCAUACGACCUGAGGGUGAAAGCGGGGGAUCUUCGGACCUCGCGCUAUUGGAGCGGCCGAUGGCAGAUUAGCUAGUUGGUGGGGUAAAGGCCUACCAAGGCGACGAUCUGUAGCUGGUCUGAGAGGACGACCAGCCACACUGGGACUGAGACACGGCCCAGACUCCUACGGGAGGCAGCAGUGGGGAAUUUUGGACAAUGGGCGAAAGCCUGAUCCAGCAAUGCCGCGUGUGUGUUGAAGGCCUUCGGGUUGUAAAGCACUUUUGGCGGGAACGAAAAGGACUGUGCCAAUACCACGGUUCGAUGACGGUACCCGCAGAAUAAGCACCGGCGAACUACGU